rnacentral:rRNA from 1 species
UGUUUCGGCUAGGGGGCCAUCCCGGCUUACCAACCCGAUGCAAACUGCGAAUACCGGAGAAUGUUAUCACGGGAGACACACGGCGGGUGCUAACGUCCGUCGUGAAGAGGGAAACAACCCAGACCGCCAGCUAAGGUCCCAAAGUCAUGGUUAAGUGGGAAACGAUGUGGGAAGGCCCAGACAGCCAGGAUGUUGGCUUAGAAGCAGCCAUCAUUUAAAGAAAGCGUAAUAGCUCACUGGUCGAGUCGGCCUGCGCGGAAGAUGUAACGGGGCUAAACCAUGCACCGAAGCUGCGGCAGCGACACUGUGUGUUGUUGGGUAGGGGAGCGUUCUGUAAGCCUGUGAAGGUGGCCUGUGAGGGUUGCUGGAGGUAUCAGAAGUGCGAAUGCUGACAUAAGUAACGAUAAAGCGGGUGAAAAGCCCGCUCGCCGGAAGACCAAGGGUUCCUGUCCAACGUUAAUCGGGGCAGGGUGAGUCGACCCCUAAGGCGAGGCCGAAAGGCGUAGUCGAUGGGAAACAGGUUAAUAU